GACGAACGCUGGCGGCGUGCUUAACACAUGCAAGUCGAACGGUGAAGCGCCUUCCUUUUUGGUGGGUGUGGAUGAGUGGCGAACGGGUGAGUAACACGUGAGUAACCUGCCCCCUUCUUCUGGAUAACCGCAUGAAAGUGUGGCUAAUACGGGAUAUUCUGGGUCUGUCGCAUGAUGGGUCUGGGAAAGAUAUUGUUUCGGUGGGGGAUGGGCUCGCGGCCUAUCAGCUUGUUGGUGGGGUGAUGGCCUACCAAGGCGGUGACGGGUAGCCGGCCUGAGAGGGUGGACGUUCACACUGGGACUGAGACACGGCCCAGACUCCUACGGGAGGCAGCAGUGGGGAAUAUUGCACAAUGGGCGCAAGCCUGAUGCAGCGACGCCGCGUGAGGGAUGGAGGCCUUCGGGUUGUGAACCUCUUUCGCCAGUGAAGCAGGCCUGCCUCGUUUGUGGGUGGGUUGACGGUAGCUGGAGAAGAAGCGCCGGCUAACUACGUG
rnacentral:rRNA from 1 species